rnacentral:piRNA from 1 species
UUAAAGUGGCGACAUGACGUUUGU